rnacentral:rRNA from 1 species
AGAGUUUGAUCAUGGCUCAGGACGAACGCUGGCGGCGCGCCUAACACAUGCAAGUCGAACGAGAGAGAGGGAGCUUGCUUCCUUGAUCGAGUGGCGAACGGGUGAGUAACGCGUGAGGAACCUGCCUCAAAGAGGGGGACAACAGUUGGAAACGACUGCUAAUACCGCAUAAGCCCACGACCCGGCAUCGGGAAGAGGGAAAAGGAGCAAUCCGCUUUGAGAUGGCCUCGCGUCCGAUUAGCUAGUUGGUGAGGUAACGGCCCACCAAGGCGACGAUCGGUAGCCGGACUGAGAGGUUGAACGGCCACAUUGGGACUGAGACACGGCCCAGACUCCUACGGGAGGCAGCAGUGGGGAAUAUUGCACAAUGGGGGAAACCCUGAUGCAGCGACGCCGCGUGGAGGAAGAAGGUCUUCGGAUUGUAAACUCCUGUUGUUGAGGAAGAUAAUGACGGUACUCAACAAGGAAGUGACGGCUAACUACGUGCCAGCAGCCGCGGUAAAACGUAGGUCACAAGCGUUGUCCGGAAUUACUGGGUGUAAAGGGAGCGCAGGCGGGCGAUCAAGUUGGAAGUGAAAUCCAUGGGCUCAACCCAUGAACUGCUUUCAAAACUGGUCGUCUUGAGUAGUGCAGAAGUAGGCGGAAUUCCCGGUGUAGCGGUGGAAUGCUUAGAUAUCACGAAGAACUCCGAUCGCGAAGGCAUUGUGCCGGGGCAUAACUGACGCUGAGGCUCGAAAGUGCGGGUAUCAAACAGGAUUAGAUACCCUGGUAGUCCGCACGGUAAACGAUGAAUGCUCGCUAUGGGCGAUAUAUUGUCCGUGGCCAAGCGAAAGCGUUAAGCAUUCCACCUGGGGAGUACGCCGGCAACAGUGAAACUCAAAGGAAUUGACGGGGGCCCGCACAAGCGGAGGAACAUGUGGUUUAAUUCGAUGAUACGCGAGGAACCUUACCCGGGCUUGAAUUGCAGGUGCAUGAGUCAGAGACGGCUCUUUCCUUCGGGACUCCUGUGAAGGUGCUGCAUGGUUGUCGUCAGCUCGUGCCGUGAGGUGUCGGCUUAAGUGCCAUAACGAGCGCAACCCUUCUCCCCAGUUGCCAUCGGGUAGUGCCGGGCCCUCUGGGGACACUGCCAUCGUAAGAUGCGAGGAAGGUGGGGAUGACGUCAAAUCAGCACGGCCCUUACGUCCGGGGCCACACACGUGUUACAAUGGGGGGUACAGAGGGCCGCUGUCCGGUGACGGUCGGCCAAUCCCUAAAACCCCUCUCAGUUCGGACUGGAGUCUGCAACCCGACUCCACGAAGCUGGAUUCGCUAGUAAUCGCGCAUCAGCCAUGGCGCGGUGAAUACGUUCCCGGGCCUUGUACACACCGCCCGUCAAGCCAUGAAAGCCGGGGGUGCCUGAAGUCCGUGACCGCGAGGGUCGGCCUAGGGUAAAACUGGUGAUUGGGGCUAAGUCGUAACAAGGUA